AUGUCGACAAGCUCGGUUAGGUCAUCGUUCGGCGGCCGUUCGGUGGUGGUGCCGCUCAUAAGAUGCCCUCUUUGCACUGCUCGUGUGAAGUUCUAUGUGUCGAACACGGAGAAGCACGAGGGCUGGGUCUUCUACAGGUGUCCUGUUAGUGACCAUUUCUGGCAUUGGGAGUUGGAGUAUGUUGGCUACUUGCUGGAUAAUCACUUUCUCGUUGGCAAUGAAGCCGUAGAUGCAUUAGGAACUGCAGAGGAUAAGAGGGAAGAGCUGACGCGAGCAAGGAAUCGAAGAUAUGCAGGUGGAGGUGCAGUAGAUCUUCCAGGCUUUGAAGAUGGAAGAAGAUCCGCAGGUGGAGGUGCAGCUCAAAUCUCCAAUCAGCAAGCAGAGGCACUCAUAGGUUUAGCCAAUCAAAUAUUGGUGAUGAUGAAGGCACUGGUGGCAGCACUCAUUGUAGUUGCAGUGCUGCUAGGCAUUUCUAUGUUGAAGAAGUGA
rnacentral:rRNA from 1 species